UGGCUUGAUGAGUGGUGUGCAGGUCUGUGCCCAGGAUCUGAACCUGCGAACCCCAGGCCACCAAAGCAGAGCACAUGAACCCAACCACUACACUACUGGGCCGACCCUGUUGUGUCUUUUAAACAUUGCCACAGCCACUCCAACCUUCAGCAACCGCCACCCUGAUCAGUCAGCCACCAUCAACAUCAAGGCAAGACCCUCCACCAGCGAAGCGAUUGCAACUUGCUGAAGGCACAGGUUAGCCCACCAUUACCACAGAAGUAAUGAUAGCAGGCAUCCUUGACUCAUUCCAAUCCCAGAAGCACCUUCCGGGGUGAUUCAUAAAAAGUCAGAAUAACCCCAGGAUAAGACACUGGAGAUGGAGAGGAGCAUACGUUUGAGACUUGAGAGGGAUCCCGAGGUUAAGAAGCUUGGAAACUUUUUGAGAACUAAAAGAAGAUAGAUAAGCACCAGAAGAAGCUACCCCACAAAUUUAGUGGGGUGUGUCUCGGUGGCAUUCCAUCAGCAUCACAUAUGGAAACUGCAGUCCCUGCCUCUGCGUUUAUUCACGUGCUGGGUCAGUCAAGCUGCUAAAAUGAAAGCAAAUAAGAAAAAUAGGAAAUAACAUGAGUCAGGAAACAAAGAAAAGUAGGUAACAUUUUUCAAGUGCCUGUAUGUGCCAGGCUUUUUCAUGUACUCCAGUGUAGGCUCUGGAGUCACCGGGUUGAAAUGGAGUCUUUGCCCUUUAGUUUUUUUUGUGGAACAAAAAACCUUCAAAGGCCUAUAAUUGAGAACUUAAUAUAGUCAAUGUCCUAGGCCAGGAGUUUUCUAUGAAGAGUAAUAUUAAUAUAGUAGAUAGCAACUGUCUUCAAGGAAAACAAAUCUGUAAUUUGCGCUUACUAUGGCCAUAUACUUUGUUAGGAGCUUGCUGCAAAGAAAUACACAUAUACAGUCGAUCCUCAUUAUUCACAGAUUCACUAUUGUGAAUUUGCAUACUUUCUAGAAUUUAUUUGUGGCUUCAAGAUCAAUACUUGCUGCACUUGCCCAGUCAUUCGCGGACAUGCACAGAGCAGGGAAAAAUCUGAGUUGCCCGACUGGCGUGUUUCCAGCUGAGGUGGAACAAGACAAUACUCUGCCUUCUUGUUUAAGCUCUCACACUGUAAGCAAGUGUCCUUUUCUCUGUCUGUUUAGUGACACAUCUUUUGCAUUUUUGUUAGUGAUUCCACUGUUUAAAAUGGCCCCCAGUGUAGGGCUGCAGUGCUGUCUAGCAGAAGUUCUUGAGUGCAAGAAGGCUGUGAUGAUGUGCCUUAAGGAGAAAAUGUGUGUAUUAGAGAAGCUUUGUCCAGGCAUGUGUUAUUGUGCUGUUGUCUGUGAGUUCAAGUUAGUGAAUAAACAAUAUGUAUUGAAUAAGGGAUCUUUAAACUGAAGCACACAUAAAACAAGUUCCGUGUUGAUCAGUUGGUAAAAAUGUUGUGACCAGAAACUCACAAGAUCCUAAUCUUGUAAAUACCCCAGGAGCAGUUACGGUGUUCAUUAAUUCAGUGUUCACAGUGACUUCAUGGAACACAACUACUUCAAAUAAUGAGAAUUGACUCGUGUGUAUGUGUGUGUACACACACACGUAUACAUAAUACACAAAUGAAACUAUCUGCAAGGAAAACAAAUCUAAUUGGGAAGGUAAAAUAUAAGAAUAAAUCAAGGCAACACAAAGGGAAGCAUUUGAGUGCCAACUUAGAGAGACUAGCUAAAACAAAUUGACAGCUGAAUGGAGAAUGAGUUAAUCUAGUGGACUAAUUCUUGGUAGCCAAGUAGAAUGCUUUCCUGCCAACAACAUGGAGCAAUGACACCCACUGCUUGGCUGCUUUCUCCUUAUUUUUCAGUACAAAGCUGUAUUCAAAAUAAGGAUAAACAUGUUCAUGCUAAUUUUAUAUGACUCUUCCUGGUAGAAUAACUGCUCUCAUUUGCGGCACGUAGCAGAGCGUAUUGCUUUGAUCUUUUUCUGCCAUCUAGGCAGCACAACUAGAACUGCUACUUAAUGUCUUUUGCGCUGGUUUAUGUUCCCUGAAAGUGACGGAUCGUUCUGUUUGUAAUCUACAUCUAAUCUGUAUUUCUGCCAAGUUGCAAUUCUUGUUUUUCCUAUUUAGCAGUGGACCAAAGCGUUCGAGUGAAGAGUUUCAAAUCGAAGUUUGUAAUUAUCAGAUGAAAAGGUUAACUUAAAAUGGCUGCUCAGAGGAGAGAGAUUUGGAUCAGUUUGACUUUUUCUAUCAUUUAACACGAUCUCAAAUGCUUGAAGCAACUUCAGAAACUCUGGCUGAAUUUCAGCCAAGGGCUGGUUUCCCCCACCUUCUUCUUCACUUCUCAUGCCUGAGACCCAGAGAAGAGAAAGUCUGUAGCCUAGAUAUAAUGACUCACUGAGUCCAUUAAUUCACAGUUUCUAGGACUUGAUCAGUGACCACAAGCUUUGGUCAUGGAAGAAACUCCAAAUUGCUUAUUCUGUUUCCUUUCUUCUUCCUCUUCCACAUCUGGUGCUCCUCGGUCAUUUCUCCAGAAGCACAUCUUAGCUGCCUUUGGUUGGCUCUCUCUCCUCCUUUUUACUCUCUCCCCUGUCUCUCUCCUCAGUAGCUUACUUAAUCCAGCAUCUUUAUAUUGGAACAAUUAGUUCCAAGUUUCCUUCAGGUUUUCUCUAUGCCCCCAGUUUCUCUACUCAGACUCCUCAGCUCUUUCCAAUCAGUUUCCAAAGUCAUUUUUCUAGGUGAUAAUCCAUCUCUCAUCUAGGAUCACCUGGUCUUAGUUUUAUCUGAGCUUUUAUCCUGCCAGCCCCACAGGUAGUACAGGAGAAUUUAGAAUAGCUUAUCUAAGUUUGGUUAUUGUUAAAUGCCCUUGGCCUCAGUAGGCACAACUGAGAAGAAGAAGUCCAUCAACCACAGGAAAAUGAGCAGGUGGCCUUGGCAAGAGCAACCUACACAGUUAUACAUUUUCUUGGUGGUUGGCUGCCAUUAUGUGAGUUCGGUGUUAUAACAGUAGAUGGAUUCAGUUACACUAGAAAGCACUGAAAUCUAUAAAAAUAGUCUAAAGGAGAAAAAAAGAGGGAUCCUUAAAAGUAUAGGAUUGAAAGCACUAAUUCCAACUAUCACAUCUUACAAAUGAAUUAAGUCAUUUACAACUAUCACACUAGAACUAGGACCGUAAGUCGAGUCCACAGACUUCUAGUUUCCCACUAAUUAGUCAACUAUUGGCAAAUGUUUAUUUAGGUUUCAUUAUUAAAUUUCAUCCUCUUCUUUCAUUAAUCAGUAUGGCGAAUUAGUUUAAUUACCUUUUUGUAAUUAUUUUCAGUGUUCUUGCAAAUAGAUGUCUUUAACAGCUUCGUUGUGGUAUAAUUAACUUACAGUAAAUUGUACAGAUUUAAAGUGUACAAUUAGAUAAAUUUUGACGUAAGUGUACAUUCCCGAAACCAUCACGACACAGCAAGAAAAUGAACAUAUCCAUGACCAUCAUGUGCUUCCUGGAGCCGUUUUAUAAUCCCUCUCCCCCAUCCCUUUUUGAUCCUUCCCUGUCCUCUAUAUUUGGCAACCACUGAUUUGUUUUUGUCACCGUAGAUUAGUUUGCAUUUCCUAGAAUUUUAUCUAAAGUACAGUAGGUACUUGUUUCUGUGUCUUUUUCUUCACACAGCAUAAUGUUUUUGAGAUUCAUUCAUGCUGUUGCCUGAACCAGUAGUUUGUUCCCCUUCAUUGCUGAGUAGUAUUCCACGGUCUGGGUAUACCACAGUUUGUCUCUUCACCUAUUAAUGGACAUUUGGGUUGCUCCCUUUUGGGGCCAUAGACACAGUUUCUAAACUUUGGCACUACUGACAUUUUGAGCUGGAUAAUUCUUUGUGUGGAGGACUGUCGGUCGUGUGCAUCGCAAGAUGUGUAGCAGAAUUUCUGGUCUCUACCCACUAGAUGCCAAUAACACCAGUCCCCCUCGGUUGUGACAACCAAAAUAUCUCAAGACAUCGCCAAAUAUCCAGUAGGAAGCAAAAUCACCUCGAGCUGAGAACCACUAGGCAGCAAAUGAUGUUGUUAUGAACAUUCAAGUACAAGACUUUGUAUUGAACAUAGGCUGUCCUUUCUCUUGGAGCGAAAUGGCUAGGUCAUUUAGGUAUAUGUUCACCUUUUAAAAAAAUCUGCCAAAUGUUUUUCCAAAGUGGUUGGAUGUUCCCACCAGCAGUGUAUGAGAGUUUGAGCUCCUCAACAUCCUUGUCAACAUCUGGUAUGAUCAGUCUUUUAAAUUUUACACAUUCUCAUAGGAGUGAAGUGGCAUCUUGUUGUGGUUUUCAUUAGCGUUUCCCCAAUGACUGAGAACAUUGAACACUUUCAUGUGCUUGUCUUCUUUGGUGGAGUCUCUUGGGGAUCAUUGUCCUUCAUUGCCUAGUGGCCAAUGUCUUGAAAACCAUUGUUUCAUAUAUUUUGUCCAGUUUUUUAGUUGUUUCUUGUUGGGGGGUAGAUUUGGUCCCUGUUACUUCAUCUUGGCUAGAAGCAGGAUCUCAACAUCUGGCCAUACAUGCUUUUCUAGCACUUGCUCACAAUCACAUAACCCCUGCUGUCAUCAUCCUCUCUUUUUCUUCAAUUUCAAAUCCUUAGACCUUUGAUUCUCUUGCUUUUGGCUUUGAAAGUUAGUGUCCUUAAUGAGGAGUUUAUAGCAUGUGUUUUCUUUUCUUAUCCUUCUGCUUAUGCCUUUGCUACUGCAUCUUUAAAAAUUACCAAAAAAAAAAGAAUAAAAGUUAAGAAAAUGGUAAGGCAAGCCACAGAUUGGGAGAAAAUAUUUGCAACACAUACAACUUUUUACAACUUAUGCAAUUUAAUAAUGGUCAAAAUAUUUGAAAAACACUUCA